rnacentral:ncRNA from 1 species
AUAAAUCCGAUGAACAAAAGUAAGUAGCUCAUCAAACAGUCUUACAGAGAGUGACCGGUUGCUGGAAGGUCAUAGAUAUGUGAUAAGCGAAUGGAUUUGUGAGGAGCACAGAGAACUGUUUAUGAAACUUAGUAACUGUCGCCGUUAUCCCACGUUACGGGAACGAGAUAUAAAAGCUUUUUAUUAUCGAACAAAGCGGAGUAUCUUAAGUGAGGAGAGAUAUUUUCUAAGAUAUUUUAACAAGAAGAGAAGAUCAGAAGAUAUUUCUUGAAUAUGGGUGGCACCACGGUCUAUCGUCCCUAGU